rnacentral:lncRNA from 1 species
UUUUUGUCAGUUAAGAUUAAUUAGCUGAAUCUUAAAUACAUAUUCCUUUCGAGCAAGUGAAUGAUGAUCGCUAGAUUGCCCAUGCCGAUGGACACCACCCCACUCACCGGCAGUGUCAACUCCGCUUACUCCAUCAGCGCCACCGCCGCCCGACUAUGCAUAUCGCCACCACCACAAUCACCAUCCCAGUAGCUGGGCAAGGACCGAUGGAUCCCUGGUGUUGGAUGGAGAAGCUAGACGUACAUGGUGACAACAUCACCGGUUUCCAUGCGGGCUUGAAAAGCACGUGAUAAGAUGAUUGGUUAUCAUGCUCAUGUGACUUCCUCCCCAUCCCUGCUCCUCACUGAUUUAUUUCUGGUCGUUAAUGGUCAGUGGUUGCAGAGACCGGCGCAGGAAUCAAAAUAACGUCGUCGAGGUGGAGUUAUUUUGAUCUGCGAUAAUUUUGGACUUCAGGAGGAACUAGGGGAGCAGGGCAUGNNNGGAUCGAUGUGAGGUUCAGGUAUAUGAGCAUUGAUUUUUUUUGGUAUGACAAAAAGCAUUUUUCUCGCUUUCAUCAAAAUAUAAGCUAUAGUAGUGUGUAAUCAAGAAAAGCAAUUUUUAUCACUUGCAGCAGAUGCAUUGGGUAUUUCAUUCCUUAAUUAGUGCACACUUAAAUUCUCUUGUUGCACCUAAUUAAGUUUUGGGCAUUUGUUAAUUUUUCUCAAGUAGUCUGUUCUACUAUUCCAAAAACUGCAACAUGUGUCAACCCGCUUUCUUUUGUUCUUUAGAUUAAGCNNNNNNNNNNNNNNNNNNNNNNNNNNNNNNNNNNNNNNNNNNNNNNNNNNNNNNNNNNNNNNNNNNNNGUAACCCUUUGCAUUCAAGAAAAAGUCACAGAAUUUCUAUCUAAAUCUAUCUGAGAUUAAGAGGUUGUCUUGUCGCCGAUUCAUCUUGAGUUAUCGUUCUUCCACAACGAAGGUGAGCAGUGUUAAUUACCUUCAUUGGAAGGUACGUGCGCAUGAACACUUUAGUUCAUCCCCCAUUUGGAUAUUCCACUCUUCAGUUCCACGAACCUCACGGGACUAAUACCGUUUAAGUGGAAGUUAUCUCAGGUGCAAAAGUAACUUUGCCACUAACUUUACCCCUAUUAAGUAAGUGCAGAUGGUAUGUUUCUGCAUGAAUGCAGUUUGAUAGUACUCAACAACCAUACCAAACAGUUAAAAAUAUCAAGAUUAUAGUAACAAAAAAUGACAACAAUGUUUACUACAGUAUACCUUUUUCACUAUGAGGUAAAGGACAUGGACUAACAAGUCCAUGAUCUGCAUUGCCGUUUCUAUUGCAGAUGGCCAAAGUUAUUAGUCUCCAACCAAAUUGGAAGCGAAAACCAAAGCAUGUGUGCAAGAUUUUUAUAGAAACUCCCAAGCCCUUCCACAAUGAGAUCACUGGACAUAAUAAAUAAAGUAUGGGUUGAUUACAGAAUGAACCACCGAAAACCGUCCCCAAAUGUUUUCUCUUCUCAUCCAUAUGUCGCCCUGUCCAUAUUUAUCUCAAUAAGUGGUCGUUUGUGGGAUGUUCUAAAUCCUUUCACAGAAAAUAAUGUAGGCCUAACACCUGAGUACCUAUUUUAGCGACACUUGUAGUUUUGGACUAAGCCGUGAGGGAGUUCCACAGCUCUCCUGCUACUCUCAUCCACUUUGGCUUGCUCUUAUUUACCAAUUCUUACUAUUUUUUACCUUUUUAACUAACAGAACCGUGCUAUGUUUGUUGGCACAGGACGUACAUUCUGGGCACAGCGAUUCUCAGUUCUUGGGGUUCUUGUACGAGGGGUACAUCAUUACAGAAGAUAUGGAGGGAGCAUGCCACUCUAAAGCACGAGGUCCAUUCAUAUUUUCAUCAUGGUUCACCGUAAAUUAUUGUGUUUGUUAUAUCUCUUGGCAAAACAAUCAUAUGUAUUUAAUAUUUACUACCUACACCUGCUGAUACAAUUUAUUGUUUUUGUUGGCCCAUGUGCGUAAGUAGAAUACACCAUGGGUCUGUUUGGUUGAAGACUAAUUUUGUCAAGCCAAAGUGUGGCAAGCCAUCAAAGUGUGGUAAGCCACAAAGUGUGGCUGAAAAAACGAAUGCCAAACUUUGGCAAAAGUUGGUAAAAAAUGUAACUCUAUGACAAAUGGGCCAUAGGGAUAAUAAAGUGUGGCAAGCCAAAGUGUGGCAAAAACCAAACAUAUGUCAACUAAACUGUGGCUGCCAAAUUUUGGCUUGGCAAAGUGUGGCUGGGAACCAAACAGGCCCUAUGUAAGUGUAAUGUAUUAUCACUGGCACCAACAUUCAAACAACACCUCCCUUCUCCCCCACUCACUAUUGUUAAGGAUCUACAUAUUGUAGGCCAACCCGGGCGACAAGGGAUAAUGGAGGAAUAAAAUAUGUAAAGGCAUGGAUGGAGGUGCUUGAGGUUUGCAUCAUGCAAACAACUCGUGGCUGCACGGAUCUAUAUGUAUA